rnacentral:SRP_RNA from 1 species
GCCGGGCAUGGUGGCGAUUGCCUGUAAUCCCAGCUACUUGGGAGGCUGAGGCAGGAGAAUCACUUGAACCCAGGAGGCAGAGGUUGCGGUGAGCUGAGAUCUCGCCACUGCACUCUAGCCUGAGCAACAGAGUGAGACUCUGUCUCAA